rnacentral:lncRNA from 1 species
AAAGUCAGACCAGUUCACAGAAUCAAAGAUAGUGUACAUGGUUCCCAAUAGGCUCAAUUCUUUCAUUUUGAUUUGGGACAUCAAAGGCAGGAAAUAGAGGUGAUUCUUAACCACAUAUUCUAUGUGAGUUAUCAUGAAGCUGAAACUUCACGUUAGCAAUGAUUUUCUUGUUGGAUUGACUUGCUAUCUUACACUGACUGUUGCUGCUGUUUUAUACAGAUGUUGUACUCCAUAAGCUACCGUGGAUGCUACAGUCGUUGAAGCAACCAACCAGCUGAAAAAAAGCAAAAUGAUUGUAGAUUUGAAGUUUGGUAAAAAAAUAGCAGUCAAGCAAAUACAGAAAUAAAUAUCCUAAAGAAAGAUGUUUACUGUUUAAAAUAAGUAUAACUACUUUAAUGCCAUGCGUAAUAAACAACCUCAACUGUUUUUAAUGUUGAUAAUUUGAUAUACAACUUUAAAAUAUCAUCCUCAAAAACAGACUAAGCAUUGCAUAUUUGCAUAAUUGUAUUUAUCUUAAUUUUCUUU